GUGUGAGGGAAAUGGGUUUAAAGGCAGAUUAAGUUAGGAAGGUGUGAGGGAAAUGGGUUAAAAGGCAGAUUAAGUUAGGAAGGUGUGAGGGAAAUGGGUUUAAAGGCUCUGAAUACGUGUUUGAUUUCAACAUUCUGACAAAGGAGCAGUAGAAAAUACAAACAUUUAGGAAAAGUCAGGGAGCAGGAGGUAGGUUUUUUGGGUUGUCUGAUUCUAGUGUUAAAAGACAAUUCUGCCACUUUUCAACCUCAUAUUCAUCCUCUCCAGCACCAAACAGAAUGUUUAUUUGUCAAAAUGGCACAUUUCUAUGAUCUGUAGUUAAAAAGAUAAGUAGACAAGUCUUUAAAAAAUGAUCUGUGACAUAAAAGUUAAAAACUCAUUUUCCAAACCUGCAGUAGUUUUCUGGCCCCAUGGAGGGUAUUUUAUUGCUCCCCACACCUGAUCAUCUAAUUGUGUUUGAAAAUCACUGCUUUUAAAAUGAUUAAACUUUUGAUGAUGUCAUCAGGUAGAACUUUUUAACUUUAUAUUUUUUCUUCAAAACUUCAAAAUGAACCAUUUACAUUUAUAUUCAUUUCUGAUGUUAUUUUAUUUGUACGGCUGAAUAGGACCUUUAAAGGUAGUGUUUUAUAUAUAUUCUGAUGUUAUUUUAUUUUUAUGGCUGAAUAGGACCUUUAAAUGUAGUGUUUUAUAUAUAUUCUGAUGUUAUUUUAUUUUUAUGGCUGAAUAGGACCUUUAAAUGUAGUGUUUUAUAUAUAUUCUGAUGUUAUUUUAUUUUUAUGGCUGAAUAGGACCUUUAAAGGUAGUGUGUUUUAUAUAAUUAGCCUCCACAGCAACAUGAACACCUGAAUACUUUCACAUACAAACCAGAGGAGGCUGGUGGAGGAGCUAUAGGAGGACAGGCUCAGUGUAAAGACUGGAAUGGAAUAAAUGGAACAUCAAACACUUAAUUAAUUUAUUCCAUUUCAGCCAUAAAAAUGAACAAGUCCUCCUAUAACUCCUCCUAUAGCUCCUCCCACCAGCCUAUAGCUCCUCCCACCAGCCUAUAGCUCCUCCCGCCAGCCUAUAACUCCUCCCACCAGCCUCCUCUUGGAAAUGUCUCUGUUCUGUUAAAAGAGAAGUUGAGAAUACCACAUGUUGAUUCUGUUGUAUCUACAUUAAACCACAUGUUGAUUCUGUUGUAUCUACAUAUAUCUACAUUAAACCACAUGUUGAUUCUGUUGUAUCUACAUGUAUCUACAUUAAACCACAUGUUGAUUCUGUUGUAUCUACAUUAAACCACAUGUUGAUUCUGUUGUAUCUACAUAUAUCUACAUUAAACCACAUGUUGAUUCUGUUGUAUCUACAUGUAUCUACAUUAAACCACAUGUUGAUUCUGUUGUAUCUACAUGUAUCUACAUUAAACCACAUGUUGAUUCUGUUGUAUCUACAUGUAUCUACAUUAAACCACAUGUUGAUUCUGUUGUAUCUACAUUAAACCACAUGUUGAUUCUGUUGUAUGUACAUGUAUCUACAUUAAACCACAUGUUGAUUCUGUUGUAUCUACAUAUAUCUACAUUAAACCACAUGUUGAUUCUGUUGUAUCUACAUUAAACCACAUGUUGAUUCUGUUGUAUCUACAUAUAUCUACAUUAAACCACAUGUUGAUUCUGUUGUAUCUACAUUAAACCACAUGUUGAUUCUGUUGUAUGUACAUGUAUCUACAUUAAACCACAUGUUGAUUCUGUUGUAUCUACAUUAAACCACAUGUUGAUUCUGUUGUAUCUACAUUAAACCACAUGUUGAUUCUGUUGUAUCUACA
ensembl:lncRNA